GAAGUACUUCCUCCGUCCGGAAAUACUUGUCAUCAAAAUGGAUAAAAGGGGAUGUAUCUAGAUGUAUUUUAGUUUUAAAUACAUCUAUUUUUAUCUAUUUUGAUGAUAAGUAUUUUCAGACGGAGGGAGUAGCUA
rnacentral:pre_miRNA from 1 species